rnacentral:snRNA from 1 species
AUGUUGCUUCUUGGUUGAAG